UACCAGCUCUCCGAGUGGUAGGGAUGAUUAUUGGGCUUAAAGCGUCCGUAGCCGGCUUAGCAAGUUUCCUGUUAAAUUCAGCGACCUAAUCGUUGAGCCGCGGGAAAUACUACUAGGCUAGGAGGCGGGAGAGGUCGACGGUACUUCUGGGGUAGGGGUGAAAUCCUAUAAUCCCGGGAGGACCACCAGUGGCGAAGGCUGUCGACUAGAACGCGCUCGACGGUGAGGGACGAAAGCUGGGGGAGCGAACCGGAUUAGAUACCCGGGUAGUCCCAGCUGUAAACGAUGCGGGCUAGGUGUUGGGGUGGCUACGUGCCACUUCAGUGCCGCAGGGAAGCCAUUAAGCCCGCCGCCUGGGGAGUACGGCCGCAAGGCUGAAACUUAAGGAAUUGGCGGUGAGCACCACAAGGCGUGAAGCUUGCGGUUC
rnacentral:rRNA from 1 species